rnacentral:miRNA from 1 species
CACCUUGAUUUUGGACUUCUAGCCUCCAGAACUGUGACAGGAUAAGUUUCUGUUGUUUUAAGC